ACGGGUGAGUAAUACCUAGGAAUCUGCCUGAUAGUGGGGGACAACGUUUCGAAAGGAACGCUAAUACCGCAUACGUCCUACGGGAGAAAGCAGGGGACCUUCGGGCCUUGCGCUAUCAGAUGAGCCUAGGUCGGAUUAGCUAGUUGGUGAGGUAAUGGCUCACCAAGGCUACGAUCCGUAACUGGUCUGAGAGGAUGAUCAGUCACACUGGAACUGAGACACGGUCCAGACUCCUACGGGAGGCAGCAGUGGGGAAUAUUGGACAAUGGGCGAAAGCCUGAUCCAGCCAUGCCGCGUGUGUGAAGAAGGUCUUCGGAUUGUAAAGCACUUUAAGUUGGGAGGAAGGGCAGUAAGCGAAUACCUUGCUGUUUUGACGUUACCGACAGAAUAAGCACCGGCUAACUCUGUGCCAGCAGCCGCGGUAAUACAGAGGGUGCAAGCGUUAAUCGGAAUUACUGGGCGUAAAGCGCGCGUAGGUGGUUCGUUAAGUUGGAUGUGAAAUCCCCGGGCUCAACCUGGGAACUGCAUCCAAAACUGGCGAGCUAGAGUAGGGCAGAGGGUGGUGGAAUUUCCUGUGUAGCGGUG
rnacentral:rRNA from 1 species